rnacentral:rRNA from 1 species
AACAGGAUUAGAUACCCUGGUAGUCCACGCUGUAAACGAUGUCGACUUGGAGGUUGUGCCCUUGAGGCGUGGCUUCCGGAGCUAACGCGUUAAGUCGACCGCCUGGGGAGUACGGCCGCAAGGUUAAAACUCAAAUGAAUUGACGGGGGCCCGCACAAGCGGUGGAGCAUGUGGUUUAAUUCGAUGCAACGCGAAGAACCUUACCUACUCUUGACAUCCAGAGAAUUUGCUAGAGAUAGCUUAGUGCCUUCGGGAACUCUGAGACAGGUGCUGCAUGGCUGUCGUCAGCUCGUGUUGUGAAAUGUUGGGUUAAGUCCCGCAACGAGCGCAACCCUUAUCCUUUGUUGCCAGCGAGUAAUGUCGGGAACUCAAAGGAGACUGCCGGUGAUAAACCGGAGGAAGGUGGGGAUGACGUCAAGUCAUCAUGGCCCUUACGAGUAGGGCUACACACGUGCUACAAUGGCAUAUACAAAGAGAAGCGAACUCGCGAGAGCAAGCGGACCUCAUAAAGUAUGUCGUAGUCCGGAUUGGAGUCUGCAACUCGACUCCAUGAGGUCGGAAUCGCUAGUAAUCGUAGAUCAGAAUGCUACGGUGAAUACGUUCCCGGGCCUUGUACACACCGCCCGUCACACCAUGGGAGUGGGUUGCAAAAGAAGUAGGUAGCUUAACCUUCGGGAGGGCGCUUACCACUUUGUGAUUCAUGACUGGGGUGAAGUCGUAACAAGGUAACC